UUUCCGUAGGUGAACCUGCGGAAGGAUCAUUAAAGUUAUAGUCCCCCGGCCCUCUGGGCUGGGGUCUUCUAUACCACCCUUUGUUUAUUACACCUUUGUUGCUUUGGCAGGCCUGCCCUCGGGCUGCUGGCUCCAGCCGGCUCGUGUCUGGCAGAGGACCUAAACUCUGUUUGUAUAUGGAGUCUGAGUACUAUAUAAUAGUUAAAACUUUCAACAACGGAUCUCUUGGUUCUG
rnacentral:misc_RNA from 1 species